AGAAGAAGCUGCCCUUAAAGCUGGGAUACUUAAGCAUGGACCAGGUAAAUGGCGAACGAUUCUCAAGGAUCCAGAAUUUAGUGGAGUAUUGUGUUUGCGUUCAAAUGUAGAUCUCAAGGACAAGUGGAGGAACAUGACUGUAAUGGCAAAUGGCUGGGGUUCUCGAGAGCAAGCAAGAUUGGCUGUCAAAAAGAUGAGACAGGCCCCUAAGCAGGAUGGGAGUCCUUUGACUGAUACUACUGCUGCUGAUAGUGAUGAGGAAGCAGCUGAAACAAGGACUGUCACAACUUCUAGUGGUUCUCCUCAGACACAUGGUUCAAAA
rnacentral:misc_RNA from 1 species